CCUACGGGAGGCAGCAGUGGGGAAUAUUGCACAAUGGGGGAAACCCUGAUGCAGCGACGCCGCGUGAAGGAAGAAGUAUUUCGGUAUGUAAACUUCUAUCAGCAGGGAAGAAAAGGACGGUACCUGACUAAGAAGCCCCGGCUAACUACGUGCCAGCAGCCGCGGUAAGACGUAGGGGGCAAGCGUUAUCCGGAUUUACUGGGUGUAAAGGGAGCGUAGGCGGUUUAGCAAGUCAGAAGUGAAAGCCCGGGGCUCAACUCCGGGACUGCUUUUGAAACUGUUGAACUAGAUUGCAGGAGAGGUCAGUGGACUUCCUCGUGUAGCGGUUCACUUCGUCGAUAUUAGGCGGAACCCCAGUGGCGAAGGCGGCUUACUGGACUGUA
rnacentral:rRNA from 1 species